UAAUAGCCGGACGACGGAGUCU
rnacentral:miRNA from 1 species